rnacentral:tRNA from 1 species
GAGGGGAGGUUUCACCAACAGGAACUGCUAACUCCUAUCUCUGGGCCUAAACCCCCAGUCCCCUUA